AGGGUUUGAUCAUGGCUCAGGACGAACGCUGGCGGCAUGCCUAACACAUGCAAGUCGAACGAGAAAGUUCCUUCGGGAGCAAUUAAAGUGGCGCACGGGUGAGUAACGCGUAGACAAUCUGCCCUUCAGUCUGGGACAACUUUUCGAAAGGAGAGCUAAUACCGGAUAACAAUGCAUGACACAAGUUGUAUAUUUGAAAGCUUUAUGUGCUGAAGGAGGGGUCUGCGUCCCAUUAGCUAGUUGGUAAGGUAAAGGCUUACCAAGGCAACGAUGGGUAGCGGGUUUGAGAGGACGAUCCGCCACACUGGAACUGAGACACGGUCCAGACUCCUACGGGAGGCAGCAGUGGGGAAUAUUGCACAAUGGAGGAAACUCUGAUGCAGCAAUGUCGCGUGAGUGAAGAAGGCCCUUGGGUCGUAAAGCUCUUUUAUGGGGGAAGAUGAUGACGGUACCCCAAGAAUAAGCACCGGCUAACUAUGUGCCAGCAGCCGCGGUAAUAC
rnacentral:rRNA from 1 species